rnacentral:rRNA from 1 species
UACGAAGGGGGCUAGCGUUGCUCGGAAUCACUGGGCGUAAAGCGCACGUAGGCGGAUCGUUAAGUCAGGGGUGAAAUCCUGGAGCUCAACUCCAGAACUGCCUUUGAUACUGGCGACCUUGAGUUCGGGAGAGGUGAGUGGAACUGCGAGUGUAGAGGUGAAAUUCGUAGAUAUUCGCAAGAACACCAGUGGCGAAGGCGGCUCACUGGCUCGAUACUGACGCUGAGGUGCGAAAGCGUGGGGAGCAAACAGG